CAUUUUCAAACAUACUCUUUCCCCCCCACCUCCCCCCCCGUGUUAUGCUUUACCCUCUCAGGAAAGCUUUCUGAAUCAUCCAAGAAAAUCCUUCAUUAUUCUGCUCCAGAUUGCUCCAAAAACCUUUCCUUUGAUGUGUCAUUAGACUGAUGAUACACUAAGCCACAAUCUAUCACAUUGAACAACUCUCAUGUGUGAUGAUUAAUUUUAGCUUUACUUUGUAUCCCUGGUAUUCUGCAAAGAUAAUAAAGUGACAAAGACUAGCUGGGUUUAUGUUCAUAAUAAAUAGAUGAACAAUUCCACACCUAUCUUGGUAUAUUUUUGUAUACUUCUUGUGAUGGAAGAAGAAGAAAGCUAACAGGUGGCAGAAUUAGCCUUUUACAUUCAAGUGCAAAAUUGCACUUCCAAUUUUACAGAAAGCUAUUGAGAGUUGUACUUGCACACAGGGUUAGCUUCUGCCCCCAACCUUGUAAAGCAACACCAGAAGUCACCAAGCUAUCAAUGUUCAAUAACUAGUGUUCUCUAGGAGUCCUCCAGGUCAGAAGUGACGUCACAAUUGGUUUAGCUCUCCUUGACAUUGUACAUGCCCGUGCUUAUAGAGAUGCUUUUGAGUAGAAAGUACUAGAGCACGCAGUAAAUUCUAAAAUUUUCCAACAAACAUAGGUUUAUUUUCUGUGUGCUGCUUGUACAGCUGAGACCUAUAACAGUGGACAGUAAAGGGUGUACGAUGCAGCUCCUGUACAUGUAUGGAACACUAAGAGGCAUGGAAGGACAUGGAGGGGCAGCAAUCCUCAGCAGUCCUACUCAGCAAAGCAAGUUUUCCCAGGCCUGUCUUCAAGCUGAUGAAGCACAGAACAGUCUCAAAUCCAUCUUGCAUAUCUGAGAAAGAGGGACUGAGAUACUUCACAGAGAAAAGCAAUAAGGAAAUGCAGAAGUGAAAAGGAAAAGAGCAAGGAGCAGACUGAAAAAGUUGGGAACUAUAACCCAAGAGGAAUAGGAAUGACGUACUGCUAGGCUCUGAAGAAGAACAGAAUAAUCAGCUGACAGCAGAAAGCAAGCCUAAAAUUUACACCAGAAUCGGGAAUAGGUAUUGACUAUAGGCUUCACUGUAAAAUUGACAGUUCUGUCACCCAAAGUGUUGCAGCCAAGGAAGAUGUAUGGUAUCUGCCAUGAGCAAAAGGUAUGAGAUAUGUGUUUGAGGCAAGAAUGAAAACUGAUAGAAAGUAGAGGUGAGGAAGACAGAAAAAAAAACUCACCUUGGUGCCCUUCACAUUUGAACAAAUGAUCCUGCCAGUGUCCCGCUGAAACAAA
rnacentral:lncRNA from 1 species